UGUGAUAGAACGGAGGCUAUUGUCUUAUCUGAUCCUACAGAAUUCUAGGGAAUGUAGUUUAGAGAAGACAAUGACAUCUCUAGCUGAGAAUUCCAAAGACUCUUUCCCAGAAUUCUGCAGGAGAGCUCCGAUGAUUGGCAGGCAAUAGCCUCCAUUCUCUAAUGCUGGUGGGAUAACAUCCUAUGAAAUAAGAAACACAAAACUGACAGGGACCAGCUAUAGUCAUAUGCAAACACAUCAUCGUCAUCAGCCAUCGCUAUCACCAUCCUCAUCGUGAUUAGCUGAGGAUGAUGGGAUUUAGAAGAUGGGUGCCGCCAGCCAUAUUUUGAGAUAAACUGAGCCUGAAUGUUCUGGGUUCAAACCUUUUCUUCUGCUGUUGAUAAGAAAUCUUACAGUAUCAUACUUGGAAUGCUAUCGACAUGAAGUAAAGUAAAAGGAUACAACUUAAGGAACAAUGGAACAGAAGUCAUAUGAGGAAAAAAGUGGAAAGGAAGAGAAGAGACAUAUUAAUACUAUGACAUAUUAAAAGCAGCUGAAAAAUGGGGCAGCAGAGGAUCAAUGGGGAAUGGGGUCCGCUGGAAGGUUUCUGAAAAUAGCAAUGUGGGUGUGUGAAUCUCAAAUACAUUAAAGGACAGCCUGCAAACCAUGGUCAAGAAAACCAGCCAUUUACAUAUUCACUGAAUCAUAAAUCUUCUAGUACUUUGUGCAUGCA